GAGGGGGUGAUUAGUGACAGAGUGAGGGAGGGGGUGACUAGUGACAGUGAGGGAGCGGGUGACAGAGUUAGGGAGGGAGUGACUAGUGACAGUCACUCCCUCCCUCUGUCACUAGUCACUCCCUCCCUCUGUCACUAGUCACUCCCUCCCUCUGUCACCAGUCACCCCUUCCCUCCCUCACUCUGCCACUAGUCACCCAUUCCCUAACUCUGUCACUAGUCACCCCCUCUC